rnacentral:rRNA from 1 species
CAACAGGGAUUGCCCUAGUAACGGCGAGUGAAGCGGCAACAGCUCAAAUUUGAAAUCUGGCUUCGGCCCGAGUUGUAAUUUGUAGAGGAAGCUUUUGGUGAGGCACCUUCUGAGUCCCCUGGAACGGGGCGCCAUAGAGGGUGAGAGCCCCGUAUAGUCGGAUGCCGAUCCAAUGUAAAGCUCCUUCGACGAGUCGAGUAGUUUGGGAAUGCUGCUCAAAAUGGGAGGUAAAUUUCUUCUAAAGCUAAAUACCGGCCAGAGACCGAUAGCGCACAAGUAGAGUGAUCGAAAGAUGAAAAGCACUUUGAAAAGAGGGUUAAAUAGCACGUGAAAUUGUUGAAAGGGAAGCGUUUGUGACCAGACUUGCGCCGUUCCGAUCAUCCGGUGUUCUCACCGGUGCACUCGGGACGGCACAGGCCAGCAUCGGUUUUGGCGGGGGGACAAAGGCCCUGGGAACGUAGCUCCUCCGGGAGUGUUAUAGCCCAGGGCGUAAUGCCCUCGCCGGGACCGAGGUUCGCGCAUCUGCAAGGAUGCUGGCGUAAUGGUCACCAACGACCCGUCUUGAAACACGGACCAAGGAGUCAAGGUUUUGCGCGAGUGUUUGGGUGUAAAACCCGCACGCGUAAUGAAAGUGAACGUAGGUGAGAGCUUCGGCGCAUCAUCGACCGAUCCUGAUGUAUUCGGAUGGAUUUGAGUAAGAGCGUUAAGCCUUGGACCCGAAAGAUGGUGAACUAUGCUUGGAUAGGGUGAAGCCAGAGGAAACUCUGGUGGAGGCUCGCAGCGGUUCUGACGUGCAAAUCGAUCGUCAAAUCUGAGCAUGGGGGCGAAAGACUAAUCGA